rnacentral:miRNA from 1 species
UUCCUUCGUCGAUGAGGUAUAACAACCUCAUCGACGGAAGGAAUCCCUUCCGUCGAUGAGGGUGUUUUACCUCAUCGACCGGAAGGAA